rnacentral:rRNA from 1 species
CUUUCCCUCUGUCGGCAGGCCUAACACAUGCAAGUCGAGCGGAUGAAGGGAGCUUGCUCCUGGAUUCAGCGGCGGACGGGUGAGUAAUGCCUAGGAAUCUGCCUGGUAGUGGGGGAUAACGUCCGGAAACGGGCGCUAAUACCGCAUACGUCCUGAGGGAGAAAGUGGGGGAUCUUCGGACCUCACGCUAUCAGAUGAGCCUAGGUCGGAUUAGCUAGUUGGUGGGGUAAAGGCCUACCAAGGCGACGAUCCGUAACUGGUCUGAGAGGAUGAUCAGUCACACUGGAACUGAGACACGGUCCAGACUCCUACGGGAGGCAGCAGUGGGGAAUAUUGGACAAUGGGCGAAAGCCUGAUCCAGCCAUGCCGCGUGUGUGAAGAAGGUCUUCGGAUUGUAAAGCACUUUAAGUUGGGAGGAAGGGCAGUAAGUGAAUACCUUGCUGUUUUGACGUUACCAACAGAAUAAGCACCGGCUAACUUCGUG